UACGGAGGGGGCUAGCGUUGUUCGGAAUUACUGGGCGUAAAGCGCGCGUAGGCGGACCUGCAAGUCGGGGGUGAAAGCCCGAGGCUCAACCUCGGAACUGCCUUCGAUACUGCGGGUCUCGAGUCCGGGAGAGGUGAGUGGAAUUCCUAGUGUAGAGGUGGAAUUCGUAGAUAUUAGGAAGAACACCAGUGGCGAAGGCGGCUCACUGGUCCGGUACUGACGCUGAGGUGACGAA
rnacentral:rRNA from 1 species